CCAUCUUGCAAGAUGGCGGGUGAAAAAGUUAAGAAGGCAGAUACUAAGGAGAAGAAACCUGAAGCCAAGAAGGCUGAUGCUAGUGGCAAGGUGAAAAAGGGUGACCUCAAGGCUAAAAAGCUCAACAAGGGGAAGCUCUGCAGCAGCUUCUGUCCUCGUUAGAGGAACUGGCAGAUGUUCCCAAUCCACCACGCAUUCCAGAUAGGCCACGUACAAGAGGUCGUACUCUGCUGCUAAAUCCAGGAUUGAAAAGAAAAAGGAAAAUAGGUUGCCACUGUUACAAAGCCAGUUGGUGGUGACAAGAAUGUGCUACCCGGGUGAUUAAACUUCACAACAUGCCUAGAAAUUAUCCUACUGAAGAAGUUCCUCGAAAGCUAUUGAGCCACAGCAAAAAGCCCUCCAGUCAGCCUGGGAGAGAACCGUGAGCCGGCAGCCCUCCUGGACCACGCUGACCAUCCUCACUGGCGCCACAGAGGCAAGAGGGUGGUUUUCCUGAAGCAGCUGGGCAGUGCCUUGUUACUUGUGACCGGACCUCUUGUCCUCAAUUGAGUUCCCCUCUGCAAACACACCAGAAAUUUGUCAUCGCCACCUCCACAAAAAUUGCUGUCAGCAAUGUGCAAAUCCCAAAACAUCUUACCAAUGCUUACUUCAAGCAGCAGCUGUGGAAGCCAGGAAGGUGAGAGCUUCGACACAGAAAAGGAGAAAUAUGAGAUUACAGAGCAACAAAGGCUGAUCAGAAAGAUAGGGACUUGCAAAUCUUAUGAAAAAUCAAAACUAUUCCUCAGCUCCAGGGCUACCUGUGAUCUGUGUUUGCCCUGAUGGAGUUUAUCUUCACAAACUGGCGUUCUGA